rnacentral:rRNA from 1 species
UACAGAGGUCCCGAGCGUUGUUCGGACUCACUGGGCGUAAAGGGUGCGUAGGUGGUGAGGUAAGUCGGAUGUGAAAUCUCCAAGCUCAACUUGGAAAUGGCAUUGGAAACUACCUUGCUGGAGGUUUGGAGGGGGGACUGGAAUUCUCGGUGUAGCAGUGAAAUGCGUAGAUAUCGAGAGGAACACCAGUGGCGAAGGCGAGUCCCUGGACAAAACCUGACACUGAGGCACGAAAGCUAGGGGAGCAAACAGG